rnacentral:rRNA from 1 species
AGAGUUUGAUCCUGGCUCAGAUUGAACGCUGGCGGCGUGCCUAACACAUGCAAGUCGAGCGGUAACAGGUGUAGCAAUACACGCUGACGAGCGGCGAACGGGUGAGUAAUGCUUUGGAAUCUUCCCAGUAGUGGGGAAUAACCAGUCGAAAGAUUGGCUAAUACCGCAUACGUCUGUAAAGGGAAAGCGGGGGCUCGUAAGACCUCGCGCUAUUGGAUGAGCCAAAGUCGGAUUAGCUAGUUGGUGGGGUAAUGGCCUACCAAGGCGACAAUCCGUAGCUGGUCUGAGAGGACGACCAGCCACACCGGAACUGAGACACGGUCCGGACUCCUACGGGAGGCAGCAGUGGGGAAUAUUGGACAAUGGGGGAAACCCUGAUCCAGCGACGCCGCGUGUGUGAAGAAGGCCUGCGGGUUG